UCUUCAGGCUGUUGUUAGGGUGAGGCUCUUUGGGACGCUUCCGGAGUCACCUAUGUUGAUUUUUCUUUCCUCACAGUGGCACCCAAGGACACAUCUUUCAUUGAACGGGAUUUUGUUUUUGGUCUAUUUCAAAAGGCCAGAAAAUACCAGUCUGAAGCAUACCUGUGGCUGAUGGGAAACAAAAGCAUCCAUUGGUGUAGGAUUCUAAAGAGGCUGAGGAGAGACUGAGAGCCUGUUCAUCCUGACUGACCCACUGAGUCCUGCACUGUAGCACAUCAACUGCACAGCCAACUGCUCUGACACUGGGUCUUCCAGCAGGUCCUCUAGCCGACUGCCUAAUCCUUGAUCCAAAUGAUAUUUCUGCAGAGAAGGCUACAUCCUUGACCUCUCACCUGUCCUCAUGGGUCCACACCUGCUCUUGCUCCCCCACCCAAAACAACACUGUCCCACCACUCUGUCAGGGGAUGGAGGGUGAGAGGCCCUUGUGGGAACAGAUGAAGUCUUACUAGUAAUGACAUAAACAAUUCAUUGAUUUUUAAAAAUUA